GACGAACGCUGGCGGCGUGCUUAACACAUGCAAGUCGAGCGGUAAGGCCCUUUCGGGGGUACACGAGCGGCGAACGGGUGAGUAACACGUGGGUGACCUGCCCUCAGCUCUGGGAUAAGCCUGGGAAACCGGGUCUAAUACUGGAUAUGACUCCAUGACGCAUGUUGUGGGGUGGAAAGCCUUGUGCGGCUGAGGAUGGGCCCGCGGCCUAUCAGCUUGUUGGUGGGGUGAUGGCCUACCAAGGCGACGACGGGUAGCCGGCCUGAGAGGGCGACCGGCCACACUGGGACUGAGACACGGCCCAGACUCCUACGGGAGGCAGCAGUGGGGAACCUUGCGCAAUGGGCGAAAGCCUGACGCAGCGACGCCGCGUGAGGGAUGACGGCCUGGUGUAAC
rnacentral:rRNA from 1 species